AUUUGUUAAAUCUUUUAGAAAUUUGCAUUCAUUGUUGUCAGGAUUCGAUUUGUAAUGGAAAACAAUAGUUUUACUAAGUUUACGCCAAAAAAAUUGGUUAAGUUUCGACAUUUUGAUGAAUAUAAUCCUAAAAAUGUAAUCUUGCCAAAAAAAUCAAUCAGUCAAAAAAGCAAUCACUUAACUCACCAUACUCCUAAACAAGUCGAUAAUUCUCCAAAAAAGAUUAAUCCAAUAAUUAUAUCACAUGAUUGUAUAAAUAAACAUUCCUCAAAUUUUACACCUCCUAAAAAGCCACAAAAAUUAUUUGCCAGCCCGAAAUAUUGUCAAACUCCAAAACCAGAAGAAAUUCCUUUACCUCCUAAAAAUUGGCUAAAAACACAAAUAUCAUGCUCAGAAAAAUAUGAAAUAUCAAAGGAAAUUAAAUUAUUAUUAAAUAUACCAUCAUAGUUUUAUAAUUACCUGAUAAAAUCUUAUAUUAAAAAUAUCUAGACUUAUGGAUGUUCAUUUUUUGAUUUACUUGUAUUUAUUUUUUUUAAAUAUAUUUAUAUAUGCAUAAGAUUUUGAUGUAAAUAUUUUUAUAUGGAUUUUAUUUCUGGAAUAAGAUAUCUUAGGAUAUCUCUUUAAUUUACAAUUCAAAAAACAUAGAAAAAAAAUAUAGAUGAUAAUUACUUAAUAUAUAAUAUAUAUUCAAAUGUUUUGCACAUUUGUGUUUCCUACCGGGGCUCUUGAGCCCCCCUACUAUUACCAGAAGAAAACUAGCUCAUAUAAUUUAUAUAAUAAACUAAUCCUUAUAGUUAUUUUUUAGGAAUUUCCAUAUCAAGUAAUUGAUUAAAAAAUUUAUUUAUUUUUUUCAUUAUUUAAUAUAUUGCAUUUAUUCAAAUAAAUAUAUAUUCUAUUCUGUAAUAUUUUAUUUUAGCAUGAAAAUGAAGGAUGGCUUCUUGGAUUUUGCACCUAUUCAACAUCACUAAUUUAAACAUCAGGGCAUAUAUAUAUUUAUCUUAUAAUUAAUAAUGUAAUUCAUAUACAAAUAUGCAAAUAAAUUUUUUGUUUUUUA